UUCGAUGCCCGGGGCCGCACGCGCGCCACACUGAAGGAACCAGCGUGUGCUCGCCCAGUCCGGCAGGACCGGGUAACCCGCUGAACCUCCUUCGUGAUAGGGACAGGGGCUUGUAAUUCUUCCCCUCGAACGAGGAAUUCCCAGUAAGCGCGAGUCAUCAGCUCGCGUUGAUUACGUCCCUGCCCUUUGUGCACACCGCCCGUCGCUACUACCGAUUGAAUGAUUUAGUGAGGUCANCGGACUGGCGCUCGGAGCGGAGCCACGCGCCGGGCCGACGUGCCGGAAAGACGACCGAACUUGAUCAUUUAGAGGAAGUAAAAGUCGUAACAAGGUUACC
rnacentral:rRNA from 1 species